rnacentral:lncRNA from 10 species
GUUGGGGUGGAAGGGAAAUAUUUCCGGGUGGGUGUGAGCUGUUGGGCUUCCAGGUCAGCUCUUGGCCAUGCAGCCAUGCCUGCAGGAUGAUCAGAAGUCACGGCACCUCAUGGGAAGGUUAAGACUGGAGCAAAGCUUUUCCAAGUGUGACCCAGAGACCAGUAGCAUCAGCAUCACCUGAGACCUGUGAACACUGAAGCUCCAGCUCAGACAUGUUGGGGACCAUUUUAAUAAGAUACCUAGCUGAUUUUUUGCACAGCAAACUUUGAAAACCCCUGGUCUAAGGGGUAGUAUUUGUAUCACUUAUGGAAUAUAAUCUCAGGGAAAUUAAAUCUGCUCAAUUGACA